UAAACGGAUGCGAUGACGAUCGGCUGGUA
rnacentral:sRNA from 1 species